rnacentral:rRNA from 1 species
AUUGAACGCUGGCGGCAUGCUUUACACAUGCAAGUCGAACGGUAACAGGGUGCUUGCACCGCUGACGAGUGGCGAACGGGUGAGUAAUGCGUCGGAACGUGCCGAGUAGUGGGGGAUAACGCAGCGAAAGUUGUGCUAAUACCGCAUACGUACUGAGGUAGAAAGUGGGGGACCUUCGGGCCUCACGCUAUUCGAGCGGCCGACGUCUGAUUAGCUAGUAGGUGAGGUAAAGGCUCACCUAGGCGACGAUCAGUAGCGGGUCUGAGAGGAUGAUCCGCCACACUGGGACUGAGACACGGCCCAGAGUCCUACGGGAGGCAGCAGUGGGGAAUGUUGGACAAUGGGCGCAAGCCUGAUCCAGCCAUUCCGCGUGCAGGAUGAAGGCCCUCGGGUUGUAAACUGCUUUUGUACGGAACGAAACGCGCCGGGUUAAUACCUCGGCGUAAUGACGGUACCGUAAGAAUAAGCACCGGCUAACUACGUGCCAGCCGCCGCUGUAAAAC